CUUCUCGUAGCUCAGUUGGUUUUUUAGAGCACCAAACUUAUCACUACGCUAACUUGGUAUGUUAGAAACAAACGUAGACCAAACUAUUAAACGCUUAAUUUGGGGGUCAUGGGUUCGAAUCCCAUCGGGAAGA
rnacentral:tRNA from 1 species